rnacentral:rRNA from 1 species
CAAUAGCGUAUAUUAAAGUUGUUGCAGUUAAAAAGCUCGUAGUUGGAUUUGUGGCGUACGGUGUGUUCCGGGCACUUGUUGCCUGAGUAACCUGCUGUUGCCAUCCUUGGGUGGAACCUGUGUGGCAUUAGGUUGUCGUGCAGGGGAUGCCCAUCAUUUACUGUGAAAAAAUUAGAGUGUUCAAAGCAGGCUUAUGCCGUUGAAUAUAUUAGCAUGGAAUAAUGAGAUAGGACUUUUUUGCUAUUUUGUUGGUUUGCGCAAAGAGGUAAUGAUUAAUAGGGACAGUUGGGGGUAUUCGUAUUCCAUUGUCAGAGGUGAAAUUCUUAGAUUGCCGAAAGACAAACUGCUGCGAAAGCGUCUGCCAAGGAUGUUUUCAUUGA